rnacentral:rRNA from 1 species
AGCAUAUCAAUAAGCGGAGGAAAAGAAACCAACAGGGAUUGCCUCAGUAACGGCGAGUGAAGCGGCAACAGCUCAAAUUUGAAAUCUGGCCCUUUCAGGGUCCGAGUUGUAAUUUGUAGAGGAUGCUUCGGCGAGGGCUCCCGUCUAAGUUCCCUGGAACGGGACGUCAUAGAGGGUGAGAAUCCCGUAUGUGAUGGGUUGCUCGAGCCAUGUGAAGCUCCUUCGACGAGUCGAGUUGUUUGGGAAUGCAGCUCUAAAUGGGAGGUAAAUUUCUUCUAAAGCUAAAUACCGGCCAGAGACCGAUAGCGCACAAGUAGAGUGAUCGAAAGAUGAAAAGCACUUUGGAAAGAGAGUUAAAAAGUACGUGAAAUUGUUGAAAGGGAAGCGCUUGCAACCAGACUUGUCCGCAGUUGUUCAGCCGGUCUCCUGACCGGCGUACUCUUCUGCGGCCAGGCCAGCAUCAGUUCGGGCGGCUGGAUAAAGGCCUCGGGAAUGUGGCUCUCUUCGGGGAGUGUUAUAGCCCGGGGCGGAAUGCAGCCAGCCUGGACUGAGGAUCUCGCUUCGGCAAGGAUGCUGGCGUAAUGGUUGUAAGCGGCCCGUCUUGAAACACGGACCAAGGAGUCUAACAUCUAUGCGAGUGUUUGGGUGUCAAACCCAUACGCGUAAUGAAAGUGAACGGAGGUGGGAACCCGCAAGGGCGCACCAUCGACCGAUCCUGAUGUCUUCGGAUGGAUUUGAGUAAGAGCAUAGCUGUUGGGACCCGAAAGAUGGUGAACUAUGCCUGAAUAGGGUGAAGCCAGAGGAAACUCUGGUGGAGGCUCGCAGCGGUUCUGACGUGCAAAUCGAUCGUCAAAUUUGGGUAUAGGGGCGAAAGACUAAUCGAACCAUC